AUAAACCUAUCAGAGGUUAGAGUGCUGUUAAAAUUAUACGGUCCCAGCUUGUUCAAGUUCUGGGUACCACUUUGAAAAUUGGGAGGUAUAGUUGAACGCUAAAAUUUAAUAUAAAAAUUAUAGUUUAUGUCUUUGCAAAAAAUGUGUAUUAUUUAGAAAAGACUAUUCCAUUGGGUGGUACAAUUUUUUUCACUUAAAAUAAUGAUAUACCGUUUUUUUUUUUACUGAUUGUUCGGUUUACGGUUUAGUACCUUUUUCAUGAAAAAAAUAGCAUCUAUCGGCGAUUCUUGACAUGUUGACUUUAAAGUUAACAAAAAUGUAAUUGUUUUGAUUUAUAAUUGAAAAAACUUACCAAAAUCAAUUACUGUAUCAUUGAAUAAUUAUAACAUGCGCAUAUGACUCAUAAUAUAUAUGGAUUUUGUAUUACAACAAUUCUAAAAGUCUGUUCAACUACUAGUCCCAUUUUUAGAAGUGUUCAAGUACUGGGUACUUUACCUUACACCUUUCUCGGUUUUUACAAGGCUGAUCUCCCUCUUUCUCCUAGCAUUUACGCUUUACUUGCUCUUCUUCAUAUU